AAUUGGGGCAUCUGGUCACCCUACUUUGGCUUCAAUUCCAUGCUCAGCCAUAGACUUCCUGCAUGACACUGGGUGAGUCACUUAAUCUCUCAGUGACUCAGUUUCCCCAUCUCCAGGGAUAACAGCACUGCCCUGCCUCACAGGCGUGUGGUAAGGAUAAAUGCAUUAAGGAGGUGCUCAGACAUUCUAAUGACGGGGUCCAGGUAGAUGGCAUAGAGAGAUCUGCUCUUGUAUAGCGGAAUCUUUACUACAUUCAAUGUCACUAGGCCACGCUGCUGUUCUCAUGCUGCUGUAAAACAGACAGACUCCUGGAACCAUUCUUGUGUGAAGUGGCUCUUUGGUUGUUAAUGGCUGGAGACUGUGGCUGCAGGAGACCUGAGAUUAGUGUGUCUGCAAGAAUUGGAGCGUCACUGCAAACAAACAAAAGGAAGUUCUUCUUCACACCGCGCACAGUCAACCUGUGGAACUCCUUGCCUGAGGAGGUUGUGAAGGCGAGGACUAUAACAGGGUUUAAAAGAGAACUAGAUAAAUUCAUGGAGGUUAAGUCCAUUCAUGGCUAUUAGCCAGGAUGGGUAAGGAAUGGUGUCCCUAGCCUCUGGUUGUCAGAGGGUGGAGAUGGAUGGCAGGAGAGAGAUCACUCGAUCAUUACCUGUUAGGUUCACUCCCUCUGGGACACCUGGCAUUGGCCACUGUCGGCAGACAGGAUACUGGGAUGGAUGGACCUUUGGUCUGACCCAAUAUGGCCGUUCUUGUGUUCUUAUGUUCAUGUGGGUGUCCGGGUGCAGCCGUGCUAGUGAGCAUCUCUGUGAGCAUGUGUCCCUCCAUGUGACUGCCUAGAUGUGUGUAUCUGUGUGUGUGUGGGGGGGGGGAGGUGCCAGUUUCUCUGGGGGGCUCUGCCUGUCCUUGCAUGUGUCUGUUGUCCUGCUUCUUUGCAUUUUGGGUCUCAGUUGCUAUUCUCCACCCCUCCCAGGGCACUGCCCAGCUCUAGGCACUAGUCUGGGGAAAUAUCCACCUGCAGUGGUGCUGCAGGACCCAGCAGACGGCGAGGAGAGAUUCUGUCUCUGCUUUAGACCUACCUGCCCUUGGCUGGCACUAAGAGGCUCUUCGAACGUCUCCGUGCUCUGGACCAUGACACAAGGUCCCCUGGCCACACUGGCUAGUGGGAAGAGUAACCAAGAUUUAGUAGGUUCCCCUCCGUUUUUAUGUGACCGUCCUCUCAGGACUGCGGCGAAGAAAGAAAACACCAUCCAUCGUGAUUAUCAAUCCGUGUGGAUGGAUGCAUCGGGCCUUGAGCCUGCAGCCGCCUCGGGAAGCCUGCCAAAGAGUGGGGAGGACUGUUCCCCAGCUCCACCUGCACCAGGGAGACCAAUGCACUCCAGCUACAGCCGCAGAAAUACACACGCCGGUGGAACACCCUGCCAGGCCCCUGCAGAUGGCAGCAGCUCCACAGGGGGACAUCGCAAGAAGGCAGAGGACAUGUGAGUAGAAUGCAGAAAUUUGGCUUCGCCCAGGUUUCACAGGGUGCCACAGAUGGUCAGACAUGUGGUAGAGGAAUGCCCAAUCAGAAGACUGGAGGGUGGACUGCAUCACCUGGCUAUCCUCAAUGGUGUAGCAGUUAGAUGGAUGAAGAAUCUAGAUAUCGACUUGUGAAGCUUAUGAAAAAAGAAGAUGGCUUUAGAUACCCAGGCGGUAAAUGCUAUAGGAAACCAUAGAUAGACAGAAGGGUGUAGAUGAGGAUAGCUAAACCAACCAUGCACUGGUAAUUUGGCUAUGUAAUGUGUGACUGGCCACCUGAAUCACAUAGGAUUUUUUUCUGAGCCCUGAUUGGAUGACAAACUUUUUAAACAGGAGGAUUACAAAUAAUGACUAGCAAAUCUGGUUGUUU
rnacentral:lncRNA from 1 species